rnacentral:lncRNA from 1 species
AUGGGGACACCCCCAGGGGGAUGCGGGGGCUGGGGGGGGGCACCGCCAGGGGGACGCGGGGGCUGGGGGGGGGGCACAAGGGGGACACCCCCAGGAGGACCCCGCCAUGGGGAUAAAUGGGUCGGGGGGGGCACAGGGGGAGACCCCCAUAGGGUCAACCCCAAGGGGACAGCCCCAUGGGGACACCGCUGGGGGGACGCCACCCACCCCAUGGCCACCCCCAUGGGGACACCGCCGGGGGGAUACCCUCAGGGGGACACAGGGGCUGGGGGGGCACAAUGGGGACACCCCCAUGGGGACACCACGGGGGGGACACUGCCAUGGGGACACAGGGGUCCAGGGGACACCAGGGGGAUACCCCCAUUGGGACACCGGCAUUGGGGACACCCCCAUGGGGACACAUGGUUCGGGGGGGCACCGUGGGGACACCCCCAUAGAGACAACCCCGAGGGGACACCCUCAUGGGGACACAGCGGCUGGGGGGGCACAUUGGGGACACCCCCAUGGGGACACCUCCAGGGGGACACAUGGGUUGCGGGGGGACCCAGGGGACACCCCAGUGGGGACACCCCCAUGGGAACACUGCUGGGGGGACACAGGGGUCAGGGGGGGGCCACCACCACCUGUCCCAGGGCCACCACGGUGCCACCACCCCCAUGGAUGUGGCACCGGGGGCCAUUCACCCACCACUGGCGGCCACGGGGAGGUCGCAAAUUUUUUCGGGGGGGGGGGGUCCCGGUGUUGGAGGGGGUGGCAGUGGAGGGGGGAGGUGACAGAGGGGACAUUUGGGGACCUCACCUCGUGGUGCUCGCGGCUCCAGUGCCCGUAGCGCUCGGCCUCGGCCACCAGCUCGGCCCCCAGGCGCUCCGAGAAGAGGGGGAAGCUGUAAACGUCCGGGCAGGGCUGGGGGGGGGGACACACAGAGCUGGGGGGGGCACCCCAAAAAAAGCAGGGGACACUCCCCCGAAAAAUAAAAGGGGGGUGGCCCCUCCAUCCUCCUGA